CCUACGGGUGGUAGCAGUGGGGAAUAUUGGACAAUGGGGGCAACCCUGAUCCAGCCAUGCCGCGUGUGUGAAGAAGGCCCUCGGGUUGUAAAGCACUUUCAGUGAGGAAGAACGCCUGGUGGUUAAUACCCAUCAGGAAAGACAUCACUCACAGAAGAAGCACCGGCUAACUCCGUGCCAGCAGCCGCGGUAAUACGGAGGGUGCGAGCGUUAAUCGGAAUUACUGGGCGUAAAGCGCGCGUAGGUGGCUUGAUAAGCCGGUUGUGAAAGCCCCGGGCUCAACCUGGGAACGGCAUCCGGAACUGUCAAGCUAGAGUGCAGGAGAGGAAGGUAGAAGUCCCGGUGUAGCGGUGAAAUGCGUAGAGAUCGGGAGGAAUACCAGUGGCGAAGGCGGCCUUCUGGACUGACACUGACACUGAGGUGCGAAAGCGUGGGUAGCAAACAGGAUUAGAUACCCUUGUAGUC
rnacentral:rRNA from 1 species